AUAUGGUAGUCUGUUAGUAUAGUUGAAGGAUUUGGAAAAUUCCGCUAAAGAGGGUGAAAGCCCCGUAGACGAAAUGCUGACAACACCUAGGAGGAUCCUGAGUACGGCGGAACACGAGAAAUUCCGUCGGAAUCCGCGGGGACCAUCCCGCAAGGCUAAAUACUCCCUAGUGACCGAUAGUGAACCAGUACCGUGAGGGAAAGGUGAAAAGCACCCCGGAAGGGGAGUGAAAUAGAUCCUGAAACCGUGUGCCUACAACAAGUCAAAGCUCGUUAAUGAGUGAUGGCGUGCCUUUUGUAGAAUGAACCGGCGAGUUACGAUUGCAUGCGAGGUUAAGUCGAAGAGACGGAGCCGCAGCGAAAGCGAGUCUGAAUAGGGCGAAUGAGUAUGUAGUCGUAGACCCGAAACCAUGUGAUCUACCCAUGUCCAGGUUGAAGGUGCGGUAAAACGCACUGGAGGACCGAACCCACGUACGUUGAAAAGUGCGGGGAUGAGGUGUGGGUAGCGGAGAAAUUCCAAACGAACUUGGAGAUAGCUGGUUCUCUCCGAAAUAGCUUUAGGGCUAGCCUCGGAAUUGAGAAUGAUGGAGGUAGAGCACUGUUUGGACUAGGGGCCCAUCUCGGGUUACCGAAUUCAGAUAAACUCCGAAUGCCAUUCAUUUAUAUCCGGGAGUCAGACUGCGAGUGAUAAGAUCCGUAGUCGAAAGGGAAACAGCCCAGACCACCAGCUAAGGUCCCAAAAUAUAUGUUAAGUGGAAAAGGAUGUGGGGUUGCACAGACAACUAGGAUGUUGGCUUAGAAGCAGCCACCAUUUAAAGAGUGCGUAAUAGCUCACUAGUCGAGUGACCCUGCGCCGAAAAUGUACCGGGGCUAAACAUAUUACCGAAGCUGUGGACUACACCAUUAGGUGUAGUGGUAGGAGAGCGUUCUAAGGGCGUUGAAGGUCGAUCGUGAGGACGGCUGGAGCGCUUAGAAGUGAGAAUGCCGGUAUGAGUAGCGAAAGACAGGUGAGAAUCCUGUCCA
rnacentral:rRNA from 1 species